rnacentral:ncRNA from 2 species
AAUUGCACAGGUGAUGGGGUUCCACCUACUUAACCGCCAAAUCAUUGGCUGAUGACUCCUACUAAAAU